UUUUCAAAUAUAAUUUUAACAAGAUCAGCACAAUAAUUAACAAAAAAAAGACACUGAAUGAGCACUGUCAACUCUCCAAUUGCUUAAUAACCUCCUUUCCUUCCCAACACCUUCAAAGUAAUCUCUAGCUCAUCCCACAAUACGUUAUAUCAAUUAGAAAUUAUCAACCCACAUUAAUUUUGUAUGCAAAAACAGUUUUAACAUGGAAAGCUUCAUUGCAAGAAUGCAAGAAUUCAAGUCGGUGUGCAGGUCCUCGGACAGCAAAUCAAUACAAACAUUCAAGAAAAAGAAAGACAACACAGCAACAACACAACAAAGAAUCAAAGGAACAUUUAAAAACAUAGCAACAACACAACACCUAUAAGAACAUUUAAAACAAAGCAACAAAGAAAGAAAUAUCUAAGAAUCAACAUAACUUGAACGUGUAUGCUCAAAGAAUCAAAGGCUAAGCUUCACUGGGAAAGUGAAGAACACCCAACUAAAGGAAACUUCAAUCACAGCUUAAACAAAAAUUCACAAUCCCUUUAAAUUGAAGUAGCAAGAAACUUGAGAACUAAAACAAGGUUAACAAGGUUAAGCAGUGAACUAAAUCAGCGUAAUUUUAACAAGAUUAACGGAACUAAAUCAACUAAUUAUUGAAUGAUUCAAUCCAAAACAAGAAAACAGUAUAAUACAGCACAUGAGUAAAGCUAAUCAAUGAUUCAAAUUUCAAUAUGAGUAGCACUAAUAGAAUCCAAAAAAAUCAAUGUUCUAGGAGAAUCUCAAAAAAAAAUCAUUGAAUCAAAGUUCUGGGCAAAGAUCGAACAAAAAUUUUU